UACAGAGGUCUCAAGCGUUGUUCGGAUACAUUGGGCGUAAAGGGUGUGUAGGUGGCGCUGUAAGUCGGGUGUGAAAUUUCGGAGCUUAACUCCGAAACUGCAUUCGAUACUGCGGUGCUUGAGGACUGGAGAGGAGACUGGAAUUCAUGGUGUAGCAGUGAAAUGCGUAGAGAUCAUGAGGAAGACCAGUGGCGAAGGCGGGUCUCUGGACAGUUCCUGACACUGAGACACGAAGGCCAGGGGAGCAAACGGG
rnacentral:rRNA from 1 species